UCGGGCGCGUUCGCCUUGGUGACUCUGGAUAACUUUGCGGAUCGCACGGUCUAGCACCGGCGACGGAUCAUUCAAGUGUCUGCCCUAUCAACUUUCGUCGGUACGGUAUUUGCCUACCGAGGUUCUUACGGGUGACGGGGAAUCAGGGUUCGAUUCCGGAGAGGGAGCCUGAGAAACGGCUACCACAUCCAAGGAAGGCAGCAGGCGCGCAAAUUACCCAUUCCCGACGCGGGGAGGUAGUGACGAAAAAUAACAAUGCAGGACUCGUUCGAGGCCCUGUAAUUGGAAUGAGUACACUUUAAAAGCUUUAACGAGUAUCCAUUGGAGGGCAAGUCUGGUGCCAGCAGCCGCGGUAAUUCCAGCUCCAAAAGUAUAUAUUUAAGUUGUUGCGGUUAAAAAGCUCGUAGUUGGAUUUUGGGCGCAGGCGGCCGGUCCGUCGCAAGGCGUGUACUGGACGUCCUGGCCUUCCCUCCGGUUCUCCGCCGGUGCUCUUGACUGAGUGUCGGCGGCGGCCGGAACGUUUACUUUGAAAAAAUUAGAGUGUUCAAAGCAGGCUCUCGAGCCUGGAUAAUGGUGCAUGGAAUAAUGUUAACCUCUGCUCUGUGUACAAUGCUUAGGUCACACUGUGUUAGAUACAUUAAACAAAUAAAACAACUGGUACGUUAAUGUAAGUAUACCAAAAACUGAUUGAUAAAUGUUCAAAAACAUAAUGAAAUUAUAAAAGGCAUAUUUUCUAAUUAAAGGGACAUAUCUACGAUGGGAACAGAGAAAACAGUCGUUAAACAAAAGUAACACUAGUGUAUCGGUGGUAACACAUUUGGCCGCUUAUUUUUAACCUAAUUCUACAGUCUAGAAAAAAAUAAAUUUGUUUAUUACAAUUUUUUGGAAAGGAAAAAUAUGAAUUUCU
rnacentral:ncRNA from 1 species